GACGAACGCUGGCGGCGUGCUUAACACAUGCAAGUCGAGCGGUAAGGCCCUUUCGGGGGUACACGAGCGGCGAACGGGUGAGUAACACGUGGGUGACCUGCCCUCAGCUCUGGGAUAAGCCUGGGAAACUGGGUCUAAUACUGGAUAUGACUCCACGGUGCAUGUCGUGGGGUGGAAAGCCUUGUGCGGCUGAGGAUGGGCCCGCGGCCUAUCAGCUUGUUGGUGGGGUGANGGCCUACCAAGGCGACGACGGGUAGCCGGCCUGAGAGGGCGACCGGCCACACUGGGACUGAGACACGGCCCAGACUCCUACGGGAGGCAGCAGUGGGGAAUCUUGCGCAAUGGGCGAAAGCCUGACGCAGCGACGCCGCGUGAGGGAUGACGGCCUCGGGUUGUAAACCUCUUUCAGCUCCGACGAAGCGGAAGUGACGGUAGGAGCAGAAGAAGC
rnacentral:rRNA from 1 species